ensembl:misc_RNA
CAGACAGCCCUGGAGCCUUAAGUCCUCUUCAUCUCCCAGAGUGCUACAACACGAGCAUUUGCUUCCACUACAGUGACCUGUCAAGUUGCCUCAGCCUCGGCUCAGCAGGGUCACUUCCAGGAGCAAGGAGAUAAUUCAGCCAUUGUGACCCUGUCCAGCUUUCCCAUUC